GGAGAGAUGGCCGAGAGGUCGAAGGCGCCUGACUCGAAAUCAGGUAUACCCACCGGGUAUCUAGGGUUCGAAUCCCUAUCUCUCCG
rnacentral:tRNA from 1 species